CACCACCAAAAUGUAAACAAACAAAGACGCGUAUACCACAACAAAAUGCGUACCUUAGUAAUAGGAAUAAAUCUUUUUCAAUAAUUAAACAGAGGUACUUUGUUACAUGUUUUUUAUUACGAUUUCCCAAUUAUAGGAUGCAUCUGGCUCGUGUCUUUGUAUUAUGGGAGUGUAUAUGUCUUUCUGGCCAACUAUCGGACUGUGUGACUUUAUUUACGAAGUAGUGAAAUCACAGUUUCAGCCAUCUUCAUCAAGCAUUCUUCAUUCAAUUAGCUUACUUUUUACUAAAUCUUAUCCCAUCUGCCCUUCCCGCCCGCCCUAUGUCGUCAAUUCUACUCUUGUCUUCCAUAUACUCACUGUCAAAAAGUCAUAAUCGCGCAUAUGGAGGUGGCUGGCAGAUGAGGUUAUGUCGAGCAAAACAGGGAAACAUACAUCAAUUCCAAACCGAUUCGGUCAGCUAGCCAGCAAUGGAAAUAAGCGGAAUAGGAAAUAAUCCGCAAUGAUCCCGUUUUCAAAAAAUUGAAUGCGUAUUCCAGUUCGGAUGCAAUGCGUCUGAAAACUUUCAUUCAGUUCUUCCACCUCCCGACCAUAUGGCAAAACCAAUACCGACGAUGACUAAAGAAUAGUAAAAAACGACCAGCCAACCUACCAAAAAAGACAGACGAUUUGCAAUUCAAGCUUCUUUCCAUUUUUUUACUCUUUUGUGAUUUGCAUUUUCUUAUACCGAGAGUAUUAGCAACACAUAAUUGCCUUUACCGCACACUUCAUUAUUAACAAUUCCUUUAACGUGACACAAGAAACUGCGUAGUAAGAUUUAUUGCUUGUCUCAGUAUAUAGUUAAAAAUCAGGUUAAAUAGCUUAUUAAUGCGUUUUGCCUGAUUUCAUAUCACCUUUUGCCUGGGAAUUCACAUCCAAUCGUGACCUUUUUUUUUACCAACAUUUCGUCUAAUGACAUGAUUGCUGCCUUGCUCAGCAACCUGCUUGGGCCAACGAAGUUACCUGUUUCCACCUAGUUUCGUAAAUGAGCUAGCUGUAAAAGACAAGCGAUAAUGAGGCGGAUACUUAAUUGGUCUUAUUCAUCAUCAACAGGUGUGCUAGCACUCAAAUAAAACUUUUCUAAAAGGGCACAUGUCUUAGUCCAUAAAUACUUUUACUUUCCCUUUUUCUCUUUGUAAAUAAGAUAGCCCAUUAAAACUCGCUAAAUCCCAUUAUUUUGCAUCCUAAUGAAUGGCUCGUUAAGUUUAUCGUCACGUUCGUCUUAUGAUCCCACUCUAAUAUGUUGCAAUUAAUAAAUAACAGAAUACGUUACAGAGCGCUAAUAGAUGAAAUGCUAGUGUAAACAGAUGAAGAAAAUCCACCUUUCCAUCUCAUCAAAUAGUUUGCUUUGUUUCUAACAGCUGUGUUCUCUUCAGCAGCUAAUGUAAAUGUUUUAAUUCUCUUGUACCGAUAUUUUUAAAGCGUAUAUACCCACUCUCAUCGAAAAACAUUCACAUGUUGCUGUGCUACUGCUUAAGUCUCUUCGCUCACUACUCUAACAUUGCUCUAUCAUAUUGAAAAGCACGUCAAUAUUAUUACGAUUAUGUGGCACAAAGAAAGUAGUUUCAUUUGUUAUUUCCUUUUUUAAAUUCGAAACAAUGCAUCAAAAGUUCAUAAUUCAUUAAAGUUGAAUCAAUUAGGCAUACAUGGCUCCGUCAUAAUAUGGAACUGGAGUUUCAGAUGAACCAGUGUUAACAUCUUCUUCCGGUAAACCAGCGAAAAGAGAAGGAUCGCCAAGGGCCAUACGCUUUGAGGUAUACAUUUGGGCAACAAUACCUGCUGCAACAGAAAUGGAUUGUUCCACCCAUUCUGUUACCCAUUCAUUUGGUAAUAUGGCGUUAGAACCGAAAAGCUUAAUGUAUCG
rnacentral:lncRNA from 1 species